GGUUUAAAUCUGUCAUAGGAAUUAUUAGGAUUUGGAUUAGGAUUUGGCUAGGGUUUGGAUUAAGGUUUGGAUUAGGGUUUAGGGUUUGGUUAGGAUUUGGCUAGGGUUCGGUUUAGGGUUUGGAUUAGGAUUUGGAUUAGGAUUUAGGGUUUGAUUAGGAUUUGAUUUAGGGUUUGGAUUAAGGUUUAGGAUUUGGUUAGGGUUUGAUGUAGGGUUUGGAUUAGAGUUUUGACUAGGGUUUGAUUUAAGAUUUGAUUUAGGGUUUAGGAUUUGGAUUAGAGUUUAGGAUUGGAUUAGGGUUUGGAUUAGGGUUUGAAUUAGGGUUUAGGAUUUGAUUAGGAUUUGAUUUAGAGUUUGGAUUAGGAUUUGGUUAGGAUUUGAUUUAGGGUUUGAUUUAGGGUUUAGGGUUGGAUUAGGGUUUGAUUUAGGGUUUGAUUUAGGAUUUGAUUUAGGGUUUAGGGUUUGGAAUAGGAUUUAAUUUAAGAUUUGUUUAGGAUUUGACUUAGGGUUUAGGAAUUAUUAGGAUUUAAGAUUUAAUUAGGUUUGGUCUAAAGUUGAGUGAAAUUCAAUAGGGUUUUAACUAGAA
rnacentral:lncRNA from 1 species